GACAGAGGAUGCAAGCGUUAUCCGGAAUGAUUGGGCGUAAAGGCGUCUGUAGGUGGCUUUUAAGUCCGCCGUCAAAUCCCAGGGCUCAACCCUGGACAGGCGGUGGAAACUACCAAGCUGGAGUAGGUAGGGGUAGAGGGAAUUUCCAGUGGAGCGGUGAAAUGCGUAGAUAUUGGAAAGACCACCGAUGGCGAAGGCAACUCUACUGGGCCAUUACCGACACUGAGAGACGAAAGCUAGGGGAGCAAAUGGG
rnacentral:rRNA from 1 species